UACGUAGGUGGCAAGCGUUGUCCGGAUUUAUUGGGCGUAAAGAGCGCGCAAGCGGUCGUAUAAGUCGAAUGUGAAAGCCCCCGGCUCAACUGGGGAGGGUCAUUCGAUACUGUUCGACUCGAAGGCAGGAGAGGGAAGUGGAAUUCCGGGUGUAGUGGUGAAAUGCGUAGAUAUCCGGAGGAACACCAGUGGCGAAGGCGACUUUCUGGCCUGUUCUUGACGCUGAGGCGCGAAAGCUAGGGGAGCAAACGGG
rnacentral:rRNA from 1 species